rnacentral:rRNA from 1 species
AAACUUUACAAUGCGGGAAACCGUGAUAAGGGGACACCGAGUGCCAGCAACAUUUGUUGGCUGUCCAGGUGUGUAAACUACACCUGUUAGCAAGGCCGGCAAGACCGGUGCCAGCCGCCGCGGUAACACCGGCGGCCCGAGUGGUGAUCGUGAUUAUUGGGUCUAAAGGGUCCGUAGCCGGUUUGGUCAGUCCUCCGGGAAAUCUGACGGCUUAACCGUUAGGCUUUCGGGGGAUACUGCCAGGCUUGGAACCGGGAGAGGUAAGAGGUACUACAGGGGUAGGAGUGAAAUCUUGUAAUCCCUGUGGGACCACCUGUGGCGAAGGCGUCUUACCAGAACGGGUUCGACGGUGAGGGACGAAAGCUGGGGGCACGAACCGGAUUAGAUACCCGGGUAG